UUUUGGGGGUGAUUUGAUUAUGGGAAAAAAACAUAUAUCUUAGAAGUAUAACUACUAACAUUUGUAAAUAUUUUUUAAUAAAACAAAACAUAUCAGAACUGAGGAUUAAAUUACAUGCAUAUUAAAAGAUCUUAUCUUGAUUUGAGUAUAACUUUGACACUGAUUAUUCCUAAAAUAGAAAACCGUAAGCCUAAAAGUACUGGGAAAAUUCAAGACAAAUAUGCCAGCAGCCUGGGGUAGGUGUGAAGUGGCUGGGGCAUUUAAUGUAGGGAAAAGAAGAAAAGCUGGGAGAAAAUGAGAAGCCUCAAGUAUAGAUCACAUGACAGAAGCUAAAUUCCCUAGUGCAAGGACACAGGACAGUCACACACCUGUAAGACACACGGACUCAGAAAGUACUAAAUAAAGCAAAAACUGCUAGAAACAGACAUUUCCACGCUUGAUGUAAGAUUUUAACAUAACCACAGUGAUGUAGGAUUUUUAACACAAGUCUCUCAUUCGACAGCAUGGC
rnacentral:lncRNA from 1 species